UUAAAUUUCCGUUAAUUAAAAGAUAAAAAGUCCUAAAUACCCCCAGUUAUUUUGWUUACCGAUUAAAAUUACGAAAAUAACUCUAUCAUCUAUUUCCACCAAUGCAAGUGGUAACCAUGCUGAUACUUGCAUUUACAGAGAAUCCGAAAACCUGCUCCCUCAUGCCGGUGGUGUCAGGCGAAUGCGCCACCGGAGAAGAGGACUUCCGGAGCCGAAGAGACAACCAGGGCCAACUGGACGCGACGGCGGCGUUUCAUCACCGCUGCAACCUACAACUUGUCACGGCAGUGCGGGGACCUGAAAUCGGUUGGGACCGGAGCCAGAAAUGAUGCCUUAGCAGAUCCGGAUCGGGGACCUAAAAUCGGUUUUGCCUCCUGCUGCCGUGCGGUCCGAUGUAUACGUCGGAUCUGUGUGUUCACUCUCCCCUUCUCCUAGUGCUCUUCCGUUACCAAAUUUUUCGAAGAAAAAAGACGGCCCUGCGAUCGUCGACGAUUCGGCAACAAAAGAUCUGAGGCGUCUGCUUCGACUUGACCAAUUAAAUUAUUCUCACAGGAUUAAACAGGUAUUUAGAUCUGGACCUGACUCUAAGUUCGAGAUAUGGAUCAAGAUCAAGAUACUCCUCUUUCUCCGUUUCGUUUCGAUCUCGUCUCUCAUGUUCUUCAGAUCUGUGACUUCUCGUGCUUUCUCGUUAGUUCUAAACCAACAAAUAAGUGAUAUUGACGAAACGUGCAAAACAUAAAUGGGGCUUGACUGGAUACCAUGUGAAAUGAAAUUAUUAUGCUCCAUUAAACUUUGGGUAGCAUUAAGCUUGAGAACUGGCCAAGAAAUGAUGAGAUAUCAAGAUCGAACGCGCUGGGAGAAGGAAUUUUCGGCUAUGGACGCCAUUAUGUAUGGAAUUUUGAAGAAGACGGAAAUUUUUUCCCAAUCGUCAUGAAGAAGACAGAAAUUUUGAACUUGUCUCUCACGAUUUUUCGACUUCGGGCAAUAAAGACGAGAAACAGGAGUCGUCCUCCGGCAA